rnacentral:lncRNA from 1 species
UGAGCUAUGGCGGACGGGGAGUCCGAUAGCAAUAAAAUUUGGAUCCUUUGUGUAGGAUCAACCCCACUCAAUGUUUCAGUCACUAUAGAAAAGCUCUACAAAAACUCUUUUGAAAACGAGCCCGUGCAUGUGUUGAAAAUCUAGCUUUAUUGCAAAUGAACCCUAGCCUAUCCUUGUUAUAUCCUGUGCAUACACUUGUUUGUAUCCUCCUCCGUGGAUGGGGUUGGACUUGUUGAGUAUGUU